rnacentral:piRNA from 1 species
UUGCAGGUUGUUCAAGGGUGGUCGAGU